GAAUUUGCCCAGUAGUGGGGGAUAGCCCGGAGAAAUCCGGAUUAAUACCGCAUACGCCCUACGGGGGAAAGAGGAGGCUCUUCGGACUUCUCGCUAUUGGAUAAGCCUGCGUAAGAUUAGCUUGUUGGUGAGGUAAAGGCUCACCAAGGCGACGAUCUUUAGCUGGUCUGAGAGGAUGAUCAGUCACACUGGAACUGAGACACGGUCCAGACUCCUACGGGAGGCAGCAGUGGGGAAUAUUGCACAAUGGGCGCAAGCCUGAUGCAGCCAUGCCGCGUGUGUGAAGAAGGCUCUAGGGUUGUAAAGCACUUUCAGUUGGGAGAAAAAGUUAGUAGUUAAUACCUGCUAGCCCUGAUGUUACCAACAGAAGAAGCACCGGCUAACUCCGUGCCAGCAGCCGCGGUAAUACGGAGGGUGCAAGCGUUAAUCGGAAUUACUGGGCGUAAAGCGAGCGUAGGCGGAUUGGUCAGUUGGAUGUGAAAGCCCCGGGCUUAACCUGGGAACUGCAUUCAAUACUGCCAGUCUAG
rnacentral:rRNA from 1 species